rnacentral:rRNA from 1 species
GAUGAACGCUGGCGGCGUGCCUAAUACAUGCAAGUCGAGCGAACAGACGAGGAGCUUGCUCCUCUGACGUUAGCGGCGGACGGGUGAGUAACACGUGGAUAACCUACCUAUAAGACUGGGAUAACUUCGGGAAGCCGGAGCUAAUACCGGAUAAUAUAUUGAACCGCAUGGUUCAAUAGUGAAAGACGGUUUUGCUGUCACUUAUAGAUGGAUCCGCGCCGCAUUAGCUAGUUGGUAAGGUAACGGCUUACCAAGGCAACGAUGCGUAGCCGACCUGAGAGGGUGAUCGGCCACACUGGAACUGAGACACGGUCCAGACUCCUACGGGAGGCAGCAGUAGGGAAUCUUCCGCAAUGGGCGAAAGCCUGACGGAGCAACGCCGCGGGAGUGAUGAAGGUCUUCGGAUCGUAAAACUCUGUUAUUAGGGAAGAACAAAUGUGUAAGUAACUAUGCACGUCUUGACGGUACCUAAUCAGAAAGCCACGGCUAACUACGUG